AAAGGGAGAGAGAAAGGUGUCCACUGGAAGCAGAGGCUUGCAGCAGCUGCCCACUGCUGGGAACUCAGAAAAGAAAACCAAGACUCCAAAGAUGUGAGUACAGACAGUGAGAAAAAUGUCCUGCRAGAGAAUGCUGUUCUGCCAAGCCCUAACAACACAGCAGAGGAUCCUUUGGCUGUUGUCUGCGAUGGUCUUGGAAACCCUCUCUGCUGAAUAUAAAAUGUGCAUCCAUCACUSCUUCCAUGGGCUAAAGACCUGCUCCCAGAGCUGUGGAGUGUGACAAUGGUGUUUGUGUCCUGUCUAUCAAACGCCAUUAUCACACUAAAUAGUUCCUGGCAGACAAAGCACCAGGUAUGGAAGGUUUGGGACCUCUGGCAGUACCUCUUCCCACCGUGCUGAGGAAUAAACAACCAUGCUACACGUACAGCAGGAUGACUGCUCCUUCAUUUAGGGGCAAAAGCACCAUAAUACGUGGGAAAUCCACACUCUGACACAUGCAAUUCCAGAUCCCCAUUGUAAAGCACACCAAACAUCUUAAGGAAUCAUCACUAUAAUGUCAUUACUAGGAAUGUGGAUUUCCUUGGCAUUAAUGGGGUUGUGUUCACCCCUGAGAGGUCAGCCUGUGAUUUUUCCCAUUGAACUAACCAGGAUGAUAAAACUGAAGGCAAUUAGCCGAUGGAGUGAAACUCCAUCUCUGACUUUGGCACCAAACUACAAUAUACGUUUGGAAUAUUAAUUGGCUGAGAUGCUCAUGACAUUUUUCAAACAGAACAUUCCCAAAAUUCUAAUAAAAAUCUAUUGCCUCUAACUUGAAACACCUUUUAUCCAAUGCUUUUAGCUUUGCUCCUGUCCCACCAGGCUCAAACCCCUUGCCUUAUGGUCUAAACCCCCUGUUUUUGGAAUGGUCACAAUUUCCUCACAGAACUUCUUCUGAAAACUAUUGUAAAAAAUAGGCAUCAUCUGUAGGAACUYCCAAAGGCCUAAUGAAAGCAGUGCACUGAGGAGCCUAAAUCCCAUGGAAUAGUCCAAGAUUUAGGCUCAAAGGAUGUUGUGCUCUGACCUGCAAUGGAAGCGGUGGAAAAAUAUCACCACUACAGCUCAGUGGUUUUUAAAGCACUAAAAUCUGUGAAGGAAUAAGUAAAAUGAUCCAUUUCUCCCAUCUGAAGAACUUCACACCAAGACUUAGUUCUGCAGUAAUUGGUCUCCUGCACCUCAGGGAGCAGAGAACUACUAAAAUCCCAAGUGCUUUGGAAGCACUCCAGAGAACUUUGUCCCGUGUCACAGCAGGAAUUUAAACUGCAGAUGUUUGCCUAAGCCUGCCUCCUUUGCCCUCAAUGGACAGGCACAGACACUUGUUACACAGYAAAUCCAACCUAUUUCAAAUGUUUGGGUUUCAGCUGAGCCGCAUUUUGCUCUCAGUUCCAUAGGGAAGAGCUCCCUUCAYUGUGCAGGGAGGCCAGGAUGCCCAGCCUGGAUGUGACACGAACAUGGCAAUCAGGCCUGCUUCGCCCUCUCCUGACCAGAACUGCACUGGAGCUCCUGCAGCCCACUGACCACACGGCUCUGCUUUGGGCUCCCCUGUUUCGCAGUUUCCUGGCAAAAAACACCGAGCAAGGACAAAAGAUCAGAGUUCCUUCCUCCACUCUUUAUGGACUGUGUUCAGGAGUACAGAACGAAUCAGUUCUGUGGCCUCUGUGCCAGCACAGCUCAAGCCACACCAGUCCCACUCAGCAUUUCUGGCUCAGUAAGACCAUGAGUUCUCCCCUCAUGGCACCAGGCCAGCUCUCAGCAGCACAGAUCAACACUGCCCAAGGUGGCAAGACCCAGCAACACAGAGGAGCUCUGGGCACUUCGUUUUUUCCCAUCCACAUUCAUGGAAUUAAAAAUCCAACGGUAGACAUUAAUUCAGAGCUCCUCAUUCCUGGAAAGGAGCAUGGAAACCAAAUACAGAAUCAGAAAAAAUCUGUCAUCUUUCAGGAAUACCAUUAGCUAAAUAACAAACAGUGAUACCAUUUUCAGGAGGUUGUUCAUUUGGGGAAAGUAUUAUCCUUUCUAUACACMUGAGGUGAUCCUUACUACAGCUUGCAUUGUGUGUUCACUUCCUYACUUCACCUUCCUCCUCCCCAACACAAUGUGUGAUUUCAUAGGACUCAUUUCUCACAGUGAGCUGGAUGGCAUUCACUAAAGCAUUUUUAUAAAUCCUCUGAUUCCUGAGAACAAUGUUCCUACAUAAAGCAUUUAUGACUUCUUUGGCWUGUAAUAGGAUGAUGUGCAUUCAUUUCAACUGCUUUUACUUUGGAUCUAUGGCUGAAAGAGUAAAUCAGUCUAAAUUUUGAAUGGAUGCCAGCCUGCAAAUGUUAAGGACUUCCCCAGAAUAUUCUAGAGUCACAUUUGUAAUAAUUUAGAUGACAUUGUGAGGCUCUUUCUCGUACCACAGGUAUACAGAAAAGCUUCAGUUUAGAAUAAAGGCUGAAUACGUGAUCAGAUCWUUCUCCUGCCAGAUUCUCAAAGGAGAAUAUGAAGUUAAAGCACUGGUCACAGGCACUUACCCCCAUCCCUUUUCCCUGUCCAGCAGCCACUGUCUACUCCUAUCCAUGGCUCUGGUGGCCUGUGGUGUAACUAGAAGCCUUAAUUAACUUCAGAGAAGUGGACUAAAGUUAGAAUAUUACAGGCCUACAUCUUUACACAUAUGCUUAAGUCUCCCCAAAAGAGCUGAAGCCAUUGCAACACCACUAGGAAACAGGCCCCUAGAAAUGCCCUGAACAASCUUUUGCUCAGGCUCCAAAUUGCUGUUUUUGAGAGAAAAAGGGGAAAGAUACCAUCAAAUCCCUUUGGAAUUUUCCUUGUUUAUCAGGGAUGCGGCCAAUACAAAGCAUCACACUGAGAAGAGUCUUUGUAAAAGCUUGUGUCACAAAUACAUACYCCAAAGCUCUGGCACUUUUGCUGGCUGGAGAAGGGAUUCCAGCUUGUUGUGUACCCUGGGCUGCAGCCACUGCUAGCCCUGUGUGUUCAGCCCUACCUUCCUCCAGCUGGUGGACCACCAGGACCUUACCUGCUCUUCAUGUCACUUGUGAAGUGCCCUUUGGACAAACCCAUUUCAAGGGAGGUGUGCAUGAAAAGCAAAGCUCAAUUACAGGGUAGCCCCAUUCUUUCAGAACAAAAUAAAUAUAUUUCUAUUACAGGUGGGUUUCCAUUAAUACGAACAGAAAACAGUUAAAAGACCCAGUUGAGGACUGUUUUUUUUUAAGUUAAAGCAAGAAUGAACUUCCAGUGCACCCUGCCCCACCCACAUUUAAUUGUGAAGAGACAGAGGUGCAAAGCACAGCCAUGCUGCUGAGGAAUUAGGUUCACUCACCCUUUGGCCAGGGUUGCUAUGCCMACAUCCGUUAACUUCAUCCCUACACCUGCAUGGCAGCAAGAAAACAUAGAGCUUAGGUUACACUGGAAUUUUUAGGACAAUCUUCACUAAAUKUUAUUUAUUGAGUUACCUUUUUCAUUUUAAUUAUUUGUCACUUUCUUUUCAAAGCAUUUUAAAGURUCACAGUUAAGAAUAGGAUGUUCUCUGUGUCACCAGCAGUUUCUAGAAGUCAGGCUCAUACCACUAUUUUACAGCUGUCAGGGUGAUAAACAGAGCACAGCUUGUUUCCUGUGCUAGGAUUUUGUUCUUUCUUCUCCCUUCAAAUGACUUCACGGAUCUUGUUUAGAUGCCUUGUUUCAAAUUUUCCUGGCUUCACUUGUAAAGGAAUAUAGGAUGUUUCCUAACAUUCCAGCUUUUUCUAUUUUUCUUCAAGAAGGGUCUGUCUUCCCCUGUCCCARCUAUAUUGCAGGACUGAGAAGGAGUCACACCCAUGGGAGCUGAGGCSACACUUAGCAAUCACAAGGGUGCUUGCUUCUUUUUGAAGGAAUAUAUUUCUUCAAAACUAGCCAGGGCCUAAAUGUGGAACAUUCUACUGCUGAGUGAUUGUUGGUGAGUGUUUAAAUACAAGAAAAAGGGGAGGAGUAGGGUGCCGUUAACACCUGAAAUUUUUCACUUAGCAGCCAUUUCAUUAAUCCCUGGGUAGUGAGACAAAAAGCCAGAUUUGAGUGUACUAAGGUACAUGUGAAAGAACAAGACUUCCACUAAGAGUAUAAGAUUUGGUUUUCUUUUCCCUUACAAGAACAUAAGCUAGAUAAAAAUUGCCCCUACUCAGACAACUCACCUUG